GAUGAACGCUGGCGGCGUGCCUAAUACAUGCAAGUCGAGCGAACAGACGAGGAGCUUGCUCCUCAGACGUUAGCGGCGGACGGGUGAGUAACACGUGGAUAACCUACCUAUAAGACUGGGAUAACUUCGGGAAACCGGAGCUAAUACCGGAUAAUAUAUUGAACCGCAUGGUUCAAUAGUGAAAGACGGUUUUGCUGUCACUUAUAGAUGUAUCCGCGCCGCAUUAGCUAGUUGGUAAGGUAACGGCUUACCAAGGCGACGAUGCGUAGCCGACCUGAGAGGGUGAUCGGCCACACUGGAACUGAGACACGGUCCAGACUCCUACGGGAGGCAGCAGUAGGGAAUCUUCCGCAAUGGGCGAAAGCCUGACGGAGCAACGCCGCGUGAGUGAUGAAGGUCUUCGGAUCGUAAAACUCUGUUAUUAGGGAAGAACAAAUGUGUAAGUAACUAUGCACGUCUUGACGGUACCUAAUCAGAAAGCCACGGCUAACUACGUG
rnacentral:rRNA from 1 species